rnacentral:lncRNA from 1 species
UUUCUCACCUCUCUCUCUUACUCCCUCAUGUUGUUCACCCUCUCUUCCAUACCAAACCUUCAUUCUAACCAAUUCCUCAACAAUUCUGAAAUCAAAACUCACAUGCAAUCAUACAAUCUGAAGGUUUAGCUUAAUCUCAUGGAGAAAAUCUAGAUGAGUGAAACUGAAAGUAGGAAUCAAGAUAUAGAGCAAAGGGAAUUAAGGUUUCAAGAAAGAUAAGAAAUAGAAGCAAAAGCAAGUAGAAAUAGAGAGGAGAAACAAGCUUUGGAAGCAAUUAUCAUCAUCAAUUAGAGGUAUAAGUCGUUUUAAAGUAUC